UCCUGCCUCAGCCUCCUGAGUAGCUGGGACCACAGAAAAAUGGUAAUGCUUCUGUGUUCCUCCGACUUAUUGGAGAAAAGAGAACCAGAGGAAAUUCACCUACAGACAAAGAAAGAAUAAGGGAGACUUGAAAAGAAGAAGAGAGGUGACA